rnacentral:rRNA from 1 species
GCAGACGGGUGAGUAAUGUAUAGGAAUCUACCUAGUAGUACGGAAUAAUUGUUGGAAACGACAACUAAUACCGUAUACGCCCUACGGGGGAAAAAUUUAUUGCUAUUAGAUGAGCCUAUAUUAGAUUAGCUAGUUGGUGGGGUAAUAGCCUACCAAGGUAAUGAUCUAUAGCUGAUCUGAGAGGAUGAUCAGCCACACUGGAACUGAGAUACGGUCCAGACUCCUACGGGAGGCAGCAGUGGGGAAUAUUGGACAAUGGGCGAAAGCCUGAUCCAGCCAUGCCGCAGAGUGAAGAAGGCCUUUGGGUUGUAAAGCUCUUUUAGUGAGGAAGAUAAUGACGGUACUCACAGAAGAAGUCCUGGCUAACUCCGUGCCAGCAGCCGCGGUAAUACGGAGAGGGCUAGCGUUAUUCGGAAUUAUUGGGCGUAAAGGGCGCGUAGGCUGGUUAAUAAGUUAAAAGUGAAAUCCCGAGGCUUAACCUUGGAAUUGCUUUUAAAACUAUUAAUCUAGAGAUUGAAAGAGGAUAGGGGAAUUCCUGAUGUAGAGGUAAAAUUCGUAAAUAUUAGGAGGAACACCAGUGGCGAAGGCGUCUAUCUGGUUCAAAUCUGACGCUGAAGCGCGAAGGCGUGGGGAGCAAACAGGAUUAGAUACCCUGGUAGUCCACGCUGUAAACGAUGAAUGUUAAAUAUGGGGAGUUUACUUUCUGUAUUACAGCUAACGCGUUAAACAUUCCGCCUGGGGACUACGGUCGCAAGAUUAAAACUCAAAGGAAUUGACGGGGACCCGCACAAGCGGUGGAGCAUGUGGUUAAUUCGAUGCAACGCGAAAACCAACGUCCUUCUACGACAUGAAAAUAAAACCGUAUGGGCG